CUUGACAAUUUGACCUCAAAUCAGG
rnacentral:rRNA from 1 species